rnacentral:lncRNA from 1 species
ACUCACAGCCCAGGAAUUGCCAGCGGGAGGCCACGGGGCGCGUGGAGGAGAGCAUUACUGUAAUUCUCGUAAUCGCCAUCGGCAAAGCAGACACAAAAACCCCAAGCUCCACGUUUACCUUGUUCCCCCCGGUUAGCGAGUUGGGGCCCAGAGCCAACGGCCACCUGUGUGCUGAGGGGACCACUCUCCAGUCAGCUGGGGACACGUCCAAAGGCAUGGGUGCCCUCAGGUCAUUGGAUCUGGGGGUGACAGGGCUCCUUGGCCCCGGGAACGGAGUCCUGGAGCUCCCUCAUCCGCGUGGGCAUGGACCGGAGUUUCCCCAGUAACCAUGCCCCUGGCGCCCUCCAUGGCCAUUAGAUGUCAGUGGAACCAUUAGAGCUCGUCCCUGGAUCGCCAGCAGAAAAGACGCCAUGACACAGCCAAGGGGAGCAGGUUGCACGGCGCUUGGCUGCCUUCCUAGCAUCUGUUUUCUUUUUGGUGAGCUGGGAGAUGGGAACGAACCCUCGCGGCAUCUUUGCUGCAUGACGUGUUGCAGAGAUGAGGAGACGGGGUUUUCACAGCAAGCAGCUGCCCACAGAUGUCUGACCGCCCCCACUAGGAGGAGACACGCAGCGAAUAUCUCCUGCAGAGGCGCAUAGUGCCCAGGUGCCCAGCACUUGGCAAAUGCCUUCUCCUCCUUCUUGCUCAGCCCUACAGGUGCAAGGAGCAGACCCAGCUGGGGCCCUGCAGCCAGCAGAGGGGAUGGCAUCUGACUGCACCUCUCUCGGAAGUUCCGGGAGCCCAGGUCCCGUGGCAGCGAGAGUCCACUUGCCGCCUCCCCUCCCAACACCCACUAAGGUCUGCGGGUCCUUUUCGUAUCCCUGUCUCGAAGUCAGGAAGAUGAGCUCUUCAGAUCUGGUGCGGUGUUGGCGGGUCACAUGCCCCCAAGCCACAGAGCCCAAACCCAACCCAGGACCCAGAACUGAUCAGGACCUGCAAGGCCAGCACCUUGCAGCAGGAGGUGCUGGAGUCCCCUGGAGUCAAUGGAAGUCUGGCCAGGGGCCCAGGGUUCCUGAGACAGGCACAAAACCCCUGUGGAAGGGGACUCAUGCCACCUGAGGGCAGUCACUGGGCUGCUGAGACGGGCGCUUCCCAUCAGCUCAUGACCAGAGUGACACUGGCACCUCUGUGCUCAGCUGGGUCUCGGAAUUACAGAGCAGGCUGGAGCCAGACAGGCGGGGUGAAUCUCGCUCGGCUGGGCCCGAGGUCCCCCGUGGGUCCUGUUCUGCGGGAUUCAGUACUAGGUUCACUGGCUCUGGACCUGGGGGUGGCAGGAACACCAGCCUGGCCACUUUUCCCUGUGUAGUGCCAGGUUCUACUUGGCAGAAGGAAGAAUGUGCCCAGGAUCUGGGGACAGAUGUGGAACAGCCACCAUCGCCCCUGGAGGUCCUCAAGGGUCCUAGUUCGAGGUGGGCAGGGGACCGACAACUUGGCUGUGCCCCUGCCCGCCAGCCUCUCUGACCGCCAGUGGCCCCAGACCAUCCGCUGUGGAAGCAGGACUAA